UACGUAGGGGGCAAGCGUUGUCCGGAUUUAUUGGGCGUAAAGAGCGUGUAGGCGGCUUUACAGGUCCGUUGUGAAAACUCGAGGCUCAACCUCGAGACGCCGGUGGAAACCGUAAGGCUAGAGUCCGGAAGAGGAGAGUGGAAUUCCUGGUGUAGCGGUGAAAUGCGCAGAUAUCAGGAAGAACGCCCGUGGCGAAGGCGGCUCUCUGGGACGGUACUGACGCUGAGACGCGAAAGCGUGGGGAGCGAACAGG
rnacentral:rRNA from 1 species